rnacentral:misc_RNA from 1 species
CUGAACGCCUCUAAGUCAGAAUCCAUGCCAGAACGCGGUGAUACCACCCGCACGUAUAGAUGGACAAGAAUAGGCUUCGGCUUAGCGUCUUAGCAGGCGAUUCUUCCACGGCGCUCGAAGCGCGUCGUGGUAUUUCGCGUAUUGUAAUUUCAACACGAGCGGGGUCAAAUCCUUUGCAGACGACUUAGCUGUGCGAAACGGUCCUGUAAGCAGUAGAGUAGCCUUGUUGUUACGAUCUGCUGAGGGUAAGCCGUCCUUCGCCUCGAUUUCCCCAAUGGGUUCUCCGGAUUUCUGGAGACUUGUAGGGGUUGUGGGUUUUUUCGAUGUGUCGUCUCCGGACGGGCGGUGCAGGGUAGUCGAGUUAGACUUGGUGGAAUUCGAUUCCGUCGAGUAUGGCUGGCACGAUCGUGUGCGGUUGUGUGUUGGACGGUGCAGGGUAGGCUGCUUGGACAUGGUCGGUUCGAGGAUCGAUUCGAGGGCCGGCCUGUCGAUGAUGUGUGAUGUAUGCGGUCUAGGGUAGGCUGGUUUGUCUUGGUCCAAUUUGAUGUCGGCUCCCGUGCAGGCUAGAGUGAGGGGGGUCCAGGGUAGGUACAGGGUAGGCAGCUUAGAUUUGGUCGAUCUGGAGGUCGAUUCUCCGGCUGGUGGAUCUGACCCUGUCGAAACGAGAUGCGAGCGGUGUAGGGUAGGCUAGUUUCGUCCUCGCCAGGUUGCGAUUUGGACGAGAUAUGUGGUCUAGGGUAGGCUCUAGGGUAAGUAGAAUUCGAGUUUCGUCGCCGACAGUUUUCUGUGGGUGUAUGGUAGGUACAGGGUAGGCAAAACUCUCUCCGGCCAGUACUUGUCUGGUGGUCGUGAGUCGAUUUUUUUGUUUUGCCAUACUAUUGAAUUUUGCGGAAAUUCAAAAGUGGCUCGGGAGUCCCGCCUGGCGUGCGUCCGACUCGAACAUCGUCGGUGUACAUAUGAGAGGGAGUAAUCCGGCCCGGCCGGGGCCCAUCGCGAGCUGCCGGGUAGGUAAAAGUAAAAAAGUUGUUAAGAGGCGCGGUGUCGGCGUGCUUGUAUUUGCGGGAGAGAAUUAUCUGGAGGUGCUGGGUAGCCGGGAAGACUUGGACGGAUCUGGCCCGGGAAUGGGUCUGGGCCUGGAUUCUGGUGUGGUGUAGGAUAGGCGUAGAUAGAUGAGUGGUCUAGGGUAGAUACAGGGUAGCCAGAAGUCUGGUAUAUAGUGUGGGGGGUGUAGGGUAGGUCUGGACACCGUUUUCCACUUCGCCCUUCCCUUUACUCGAGGGAGGACGAUCUUGGCUGGGAUGGAGGUGUAGGGUAGGCUUAAUUUACGAUUACAUGAUCUGUGUCACUCUAGGGUAGGUGAAAAUCCCAUAUAUAUCUGAUCACAUUUGGAGAAGAGGUGGUUUGGCUGGUGAGAUGGACAAAAGUGCAAUGUAGAAUUAUAUGUGAUUUUGCAAAAGUGGGUGUGAAAUUGGGAAAUCGGUUUCCCCGCACAAGAUGAGAGCACGUUUGAGGUGCCAUGAGAUGCACCUCUCCGAGACGACCUCAACGGUACCACCGAUGUGUUGGUCCGGCUCCUGUGCGGCCGUCCAGGGCGGGAUAUGUAGAGAAUGUGGUGGUGUAGGGUAGGUGGCCAGGUCCAGGGUAGGUUCUCCAAAUCCGUCAAUCCGGCUUGAAUCGAAGGACAGGUCUAGGGUAGGCCAGAGUCGGGUCUAGGGUAGGCAGCUCUCACCCUCGAAGUGGUCUACCCGGUAGUCAACUUCAAUCGCCUCUCACGGCCGCCACGGACCUCGCAUGACGACGGGACCACCACCAUCGGAUUUGCCUUGGUCGAAAUAGUCGGUAUAUGCACUUUUGCAAAAAUGCGUGCAAAAUGGUUUUGUGGUUUGGUGGUCGUGAGUCGAUUUUUUUGUUUUCCCAUACAAAUGAAUUUUGCGGAAAAUAAAAAGUGGCCCACGAAGCAGUUCUGGCGUGCGGCCCACUAAAACGGUCUCGGAGGGUAUAUGAGAAGGGAGCAAAUCCGGCCGAGCCUGAAAGGGUGAGGACAAACCGGGCGAGCAACCUCUCAGUAUCAGAUCUUGCAGACUUCCACUGCGUGUCCCUCUGUACAGCUUUGCAGGCUCCGGCCUCGGCAGCGGGGGGUUCAUAGUGGUCGUCGACCUCCACGAAACUGCACGCUCCGGCGUGACAGCGUACUGGGGAUGCCUGUGUAGAUGCAGUCCGGGCUUGCCUGGACCGCUAGCAGAUGGGCUCUGUGGAUGACUGGCCGCUGGCUAGACCUGAAACCUGAGCAACGGGAGGUAACCUCUCGCCGCGGACACCGGAAUGGUAGAAGCGGCGUGCUGCGUCCUCCUCUUGGGGCCCCUAAGCCACACCUCCCAUAGCGGGUUCGGUGCGGCGGACGGACGCCCUGGGGAAUUUAGAGGGGGAAAGCGGAUUGCCCUAGCGGUGUUGUUGGCCCUGCCGACCUCACUGCGAAAGGCGCGACUUCACCGUCGCCACCCAGUAACUUGUCUCUCCGGCGCUUCACGGCGCUGGUGGCCAACCCCGGCACACGAUAGUUACCUGGUUGAUUCUGCCAGUAGUCAUAUGCUUGUCUC